rnacentral:misc_RNA from 1 species
GUAAGAGCCUAGCAUGUAGAACUGGUUACCUGCAGCCCAAGCUUGCUGCACGUCUAGGGCGCAGUAGUCCAGGGUUUCCUUGAUGAUGUCAUACUUAUCCUGUCCCUUUUUUUUCCACAGCUCGCGGUUGAGGACAAACUCUUCGCGGUCUUUCCAGUGGGGAUCCGAUAUCCG